AGUAGCCAACCGCUGUAAAGGAAACAAGCUUCUGACAGCACCGACUCGACGGCGGGGCACCGAUGUUUGCAGCCGGCGCUGCCCUCUCUCGACGCCGGGCCUCGUUGGAACUGCUUCGCCAAUUGCGCCGGACCACUUCUGUCGCCCCACCACAGCCUCCCUCCCUCUCCACCGUCGCGGCGGCGGCAGAGGGCAUCGGCCCACCGCCGAUUCGCGUCUCGCUCACCGAGUCAGCCGGCCGAGGCGUGUUCGCUACCCGAGGAAUCGCCGCCGGCGAACUCAUCCACUCCGCCCAGCCUCUCGUCGCCCACCCCUCGCCGUCUCUCCUUGACAAAGUCUGCUAUUACUGUCUGAGGCGGUUGCAAAAGGAGGCAUCUCCGAUCGGUACCUCUAUACCGGGAGAGAACGAGAGCUCGAAGACUACCGCUUGCUAUUUCUGCAGCGAGAGUUGCAGAGAACAAUCUAAGGGUUUCUAUGAGGUCGAGAAGGGACUAGAUUGGACUUUGUUUGAUGACCAUUGCAGUAUGAGGAGAUUGAAAUAUCCUUUGAUGGUGAAGCGGCUGGCUUGUAUGAUUUUAUCAGGAGCAGCAUCUGUAGAUUGCCUUGACAUACUCCAACCAGCCAGUUUACAUCCCGAGACACUUCUGGAGAUGGAGGAUGAGUUUCAAUUGUUGAAGGACACUUUUACGAAGGGGCAGUUUAAAAAUGACUCAAUGACAUUUUUAACCAAGGAGUGGUACAUCAAUGUGCUUGCAAGGAUUCGUAUAAAUGCUUUUCGCAUUGAGUUGGUUGCAAAAACUUAUGAAGAAAUGCUUAAAUCAGCGGCUGCCUUCAUUGCAGCUGAUGCUGCUGUUGGGAAUGCUAUUUAUAUGCUUCCAUCAUUCUACAAUCAUGAUUGUGGAAAUGUUUACUGAAGCAAAAAGUGAAUACCUUUCUGUUGUGGAAUUUUUAAAUGGUUCAUCUUAAGGAUAAAAAUUCCAUUCCAUUGACACGGGGCGUACCAGCUGGUGGCUAAAAGUCUAUAUGUUAUGCCAUCCCUAGAGACUGCCGUAUCUGCUACGGGAUUUAAACUUCCCUCCAAGGAUGAUAUGCUGUUCAUGUAUGUUAAAGAGAUCCAAAUGCAAAUAUCAUCUGGUUAGAGAAUGCAAAUGCAAAGUUGAAGGCCCUUUGUAACAUCGAAGCAGGUGAGGAGCUUCGCAUUUGCUAUAUUGAUGCCAGCGUGGAAUUCGAGGCUCGACAGAAAAUUCUUGCUGAAGGAUUCGGUUUCCAGUGCGGCUGUCUUAGAUGCUCAUCUCGUGAUUAAGAAGCAUGGCAACCCCCGCCCGUGCAGGGAUUAACAGUUAUAUAGCUUGAUUCAACAAGGAAGCAGAUCUCAAUUUCGGUGCAAAAGGAACAUAUAUGUGUAGUCAUGCGGGCCUUGAGACCAGACAUUAUGAGAUAUGGUUUCUCCAUGUCAAUGUAGUAGAUAAACUUCUUCCGUUCCUGUUUUGUUUUCCUUUCACAUGACAAGCUUCAAAGUUCAUGCUACAGGACAGUUCUCAUCCUUCAUGGUGAUGAAGAUGAGGGUAAACUUGUACUCGUUGGUUUUGGCUGAAUAUUUCCACGGUUAUACUCGA